GCGCUAUUAGCUCAUGUGGAUAGAGCAUCAGCCUUCUAAGCUGAGGGUGGGAGGUUCGAGUCCUCCAUAGCGUGCCA
rnacentral:tRNA from 1 species